GUCCUGUUGAUUAUUUAAUAGGUCUGGCCUGCCCAGUGAUAAUUUUAACGGCCGCGGUAUAUUGACCGUGCAAAGGUAGCAUAAUCAUUAGUCUUUUAAUAGGAGGCUGGUAUGAAAGGUCUCACGAGAAAUUAACUGUCUCAAUUACAAGUUUGAAUUUAUCUUUUUAGUCAAAAGACUUAAAUUUAAUUGGAGGACGAGAAGACCCUAUAGAGCUUAACAUUUUUUCUUCUAUAUUUUUUUAGUUUUAUAUGAUUUAUUUAUAGUCUAAAAAUUGUUUUGUUGGGGUGACAAUAAAUAUAUAUUUAACUUUUAUCAUAAUAUUUACAUUAAUUUAUGAUUUUUGGAUCCAAAAUUUUUGAUCAUUAGUUCAAGUUACC
rnacentral:rRNA from 1 species